rnacentral:rRNA from 1 species
AGAGACAGCAGCCGCCGCGGGAAUACGUAGGUCCCGAGCGUUGUCCGGAUUUAUUGGGCGUAAAGCGAGCGCAGGCGGUUAGAUAAGUCUGAAGUUAAAGGCUGUGGCUUAACCAUAGUACGCUUUGGAAACUGUUUAACUUGAGUGCAAGAGGGGAGAGUGGAAUUCCAUGUGUAGCGGUGAAAUGCGUAGAUAUAUGGAGGCACACCGGUGGCGAAAGCGGCUCUCUGGCUUGUAACUGACGCUGAGGCUCGAAAGCGUGGGGAGCAAACAGGAUUAGAGACCCGAGUAGUCCCUGUCUCUUAUACC